AGCGAACGCUGGCGGCAGGCCUAACACAUGCAAGUCGAACGAAGUCUUCGGACUUAGUGGCGGACGGGUGAGUAACACGUGGGAACGUGCCUUUAGGUUCGGAAUAACUCAGGGAAACUUGUGCUAAUACCGAAUGUGCCCUUCGGGGGAAAGAUUUAUCGCCUUUAGAGCGGCCCGCGUCUGAUUAGCUAGUUGGUGAGGUAAUGGCUCACCAAGGCUACGAUCAGUAGCUGGUCUGAGAGGAUGACCAGCCACAUUGGGACUGAGACACGGCCCAAACUCCUACGGGAGGCAGCAGUGGGGAAUCUUGCGCAAUGGGCGAAAGCCUGACGCAGCCGUGCCGCGUGGAUGAUGAAGGUCUUAGGAUUGUAAAAUCCUUUCACCGGUGAAGAUAAUGACUGUAGCCGGAGAAGAAGCCCCGGCUAACUUCGUGCCAGCCGCCGCAGUAACAC
rnacentral:rRNA from 1 species